UACGGAGGAUGCGAGCGUUAUCCGGAUUUAUUGGGUUUAAAGGGUGCGCAGGCGGUCUGUCAAGUCAGCGGUCAAACUGCGGCGCUCAACGCCGUAUCGCCGUUGAAACUGGCGGACUCGAGUGUGUGGGAGGAUGGCGGAAUGCGCGGUGUAGCGGUGAAAUGCAUAGAUAUCGCGCAGAACCCCGAUUGCGAAGGCAGCUGUCCACCACGCCACUGACGCUCAUGCACGAAAGCGUGGGUAUCGAACA
rnacentral:rRNA from 1 species